GCACAUUUCCAAUGUGAUUUUAUUCGGUAAUUUUUAGACUGCAGGGACGAAUAUACGUGUACAUUGUAUCCGUGAUACUAGUCAUACAAAGAUGGUGACCGAGAACGCUUAUAUCAUUCCAUUGUUAGAAUCAUCCUCAAUGUGCCAAAACAGAAUCAAAUUAUUUAUUUUAUUUGUUGUAUCUUAUCGUUUUCUAAUUUAUGAACUGUUAAUCUGAACGUUUCAAAAGAUAAAUCUUCACAAUUGUGUAGAUUUAAAAUUAGAAUACUAAGUAUCGCCGGUGCCAAUUUGAAACUUGUUAUCAAAUUCCAAGUAUAUUUACAGUUUAUGUGCCCGGUAUUCUACAUAAAUAUUUCACUUGUCUAUCUGUGAUAAAAUUUUCGAGACUUACUAAGUGAUAAGGUUGAAAGUCUUUGAUUUUCCCCUGACUCUGUUCCAAUAUUCUACCCAGAUUGCUUUUAACAACAAUGUUCUACUUCAAUUCCUUCUGUGAUAAAAGAUGUUAUAUAUGUUGAUUUGAUUGUUAAGUGAAAUAAAUGUUAUAUACGUUUC
rnacentral:misc_RNA from 1 species